rfam:Halothiobacillus sp. XI15 contig_5, whole genome shotgun sequence.
CGCCUUGCCUCGUCUGCGUCGGGUUGCAGGGUCUUGGCGGCAUGGACGCCGCCAAGAGGUUCGCCGCGACAGGAGGUCGCGUCGAACCGACCCGUUCGCAACCCGGCGGUGACGAGGGGAGCCC